GUGAACCAUCAUGAUGUGGUUAUUUCAAUCGGUAAUAGCUUGAUUGAAAAGGGGCAAUGUUUUCAUUGCCCUUAAUUUUAU
rnacentral:sRNA from 2 species